UUAAUGUAUCCAAUUCAAACAUCCACCUCAUUUCUCUUAAACCCAAAAUAUGGUUACUAUCACCUCCUCUCCAGUGAACCUGAAUUUUAUCUAUCCCAAUAAAUUCAAUUCCUUAAGGAUCUCCAUUAUGGACCUCUAGGAAAUGUUUAGAUACCCUGUGAUUAAUAAAUUUUCUCUGUAUAUUCUAGAUAUGUUCCCUAAUUCUUGUUUUUAAAGUACGUGACGUCUUGCCCACACAUUGAAAUCCGCAUUGACAAAUCAACAUGUAAAUUACAUCUUUACUGGAACAAGUAAUGAACGAUUUUAUUGGAUAUUCUUUUUUU
rnacentral:lncRNA from 1 species